CAAAAGCCAUUAACCCUUUUAUUUUCUUUUCCUUUUCAUUUUCCAUAUAAAUCGUCGAGAACAAACGUGUCCUGUAACAGGUUUUAAGAAAGAGAAAUGAGAAGUUUUGAUAAAUUUUGGAGAAAGAUCGAAAACCUGUAAUCGAUUUUAAAACUGUGGCUACCAAUACACUUUGCCGGAUUUCGAAAAUUUUGAAUUUUAAAAACCUUUUAAACUUAAAUUAAUU
rnacentral:lncRNA from 1 species